CUAAUUUCCUCUCUUUUACAUUUGCAGGAUAUGUGGGAUGUUCCCCUGGAGCUAUAUAAGAAAGGGAAGAUCAUUUGCCACUCAAUUAUUCCACUUGGUGGUAAGGACCCCACCCCCUUCCAGAAUAAACCUAAACGGGGAAUUUCUAGUUAUCUUAUUCUGAUUCAAGGAUGAGAAAAACCAAGCUUAUUAAGUGGCACAGCAUGUUCCUUGAUGAGGGAUAGAGAAGGGAGCCCACUGUCUAGUUGGGACUGCCACCUCGGUGGGAUUGAGGAUGCAGAACAAUUGUUGCAUGGGGAACUUGAGUAGUAUCAUCAAAGACAGGGAGAACAGGAGAAUGUGGCAUUGUAUACCAACAAAACACCACAAUUAGGGGAAUCAGGGGAAACUUGAAAGAAAUGUCAAUCAAAGUGGGAGAAACUGACAUCUGGGUUAGGAAUGGAACAGAAGGUCUUGGUGGGAUGUAGGUCUAGGUUUCCCUGCCAAGAUAGGAAAGCUUUGACUCUCCCUAUAGCUUACACUUUUCUUUUAUAAAGAUGACCUUUAAUCACACCCACUGUUAGUACCACAUUCCCUGUUUCUUUAAGCAUCCUCAACUACUUCUGGGGACCCAGCAGAGGCUUUGGCAGUAACAAAGCCCCACCCAGCACUUGCUUUGGACAUAAUGAGCUAAGGCAUUCAAGUACCCACCUUUGCUCAUUAAUUUAUCAUCAUCAAAUUUUAUUUUGAAAAACCACUAUUUUCUACAGUGAGGUAAUGUGAUCAUUGUAGGAAAAAGAAGAAAUGGAUGAAAUAAAAAGUAAAUAAAUGCCAUCCGUAAUCCAGAAAGAAGUGUUAAAUAUUUAGCAAAAUAAAAUAAUACUGUGCAUAUUCUUUGUUUUGUAAUAUCUUGUUUUUUAAAUACAUUUUUUAUUAGUCUCUACAUGAAAAACCAAUUCUGUGAGGGACCAGAUUUAACUCAAGAGAUUACCCUUACACACAC
rnacentral:lncRNA from 1 species